GGGGUUGUAGCUCAGUGGUAGAGCACUUGCCUAGCAUGUACAAGGCCCUGGGUUUGAUCCCCAGCACCA
rnacentral:tRNA from 1 species